GCUGGCUGCUGGGGCUGACAGGGCCAAGUCCUUGAGGAGAUCAUGUGUCUGUGAAAAGUACAGGACAAGAAAGCGUUAUCACGUUGUGGACGAACCCCUGACGAAUUACGCUAACGACCCAGGCCUCGCGCUGCAGCUCUGCUAUGAAAUUAAUAUCUAAGACUCAUUUAUGUCCGUGCUAAACGAGCUAACAGAUGCCAAGUGUGUCAGUGGCUGUAUCCUCUUUAGCGGUGCCAGAGCAUUUAGCCAUUAGUCUGCUAAUAGCAUCAGGAUCUCUCUCACGGCGGCGAGGUGAUGAUGAAAUAUUAGCUUAGCUCGAGUCGUUAUUAGUAAGCUGAGAAAUAAAACGAACUCGAUCUCCAAGACUGGAGAUCGAGUUCGUUUUAUUUCUCAUGAAGAGAUCAGAAACAAUGGCUGUGUAUUCAGAUUCAUAUUUUUGUCUGUUCAUUAAUGACAACUAAAGGCAAUUAAUAUUUUUUUCUGUUUUAUGCACUGUAAAAUUCAUUGUAUUUUCUGAUGGGGUUAUAUCUGUUUUUUUUAUUAAUAUUGUGCAAAAUAUUAAUGAUGCACAGCUAAAGUUUUCUGCAGGAACUUAGUGAAGAGCUAUAGGCACUUGUACAAAGUUAACGUUUAAUUUGACUAAAAUCAAAUCUUUUUUUUUUAAAGAUAUAAUCAGAAAUUGAAUUUUGAUGCUUUUCCACACCAACACUCAUUUAUAGGGGCUUACCUUUUCAAAAUGUGUUUGUCUCCAGAUAUUUUGAAUUUGAUCCUAUUGUUUUGUUUUUGCUUGUUUCAAGGCUGGUUGCUCAGUGCUGCUGUGUUUUAUAUGUCCAUUUAAACCAAACAGAGUUUUGAACUUUGUAUCGUAAAUUAGGCCUCAUUAAAAUGUCACUUACA